rnacentral:rRNA from 1 species
GUACGGGUGAGUAACACGUGGAUCAUCUACUCUUGGUGGGGAAUACCCCGGGAAACUGGGGACGAUUCCGCAUAAGUGCGAAGAAAGCAGCGCCGGGAGAGGAGUCCGCGGCUGAUUAGCUUGUUGGCGGGGUAACGGCCCACCAAGGCGAAGAUCGGUAGCCGGCCUGAGAGGGCACACGGACACACUGGCACUGAAACGGGGGCCAGACUCCUACGGGAGGCAGCAGUGGGGAAUCUUGCACAAUGGGGGAAACCCUGAUGCAGCGACGCCGCGUGAGCGAUGAAGCCCUUCGGGGUGUAAAGCUCUUUCGACGGGAACGAUUGACGGUACCCGAAGAAGAAGCUGCGGCUAACUACGUGCCAGCAGCCGCGGUAAUACGUAGGCAGCAAGCGUUGUUCGGAAUUACUGGGCGUAAAGAGUGUGUAGGCUG